UCAGCUGUGGGGCCACAGAAGGCAGGAUCGGUGAUGACCUCCACCAUGGCCUGGUCCCCUCUCCUCCUCAGCCUCCUCGCUCACUGCACAGGGUCCUGGGCCCAGUCUGUGCUGACUCAGCCGCCCUCCGUGUCUGGGGCUCUGGGCCAGAGGGUCACCAUCUCCUGCACUGGAAUCCCCACCAGCACGGAUUAUGAUGGAGAGGAAUACCAUUAUGUGAACUGGUACCAACAGCUCCUAGGAAAGGCACCCAUUCUCCUCAUCUCUGAUGAUGAUAGCAGAAACUCUGGGGUCCCUGAUCGAUUCUCUGGUUCCAAGUCAGAAAGCUCAGCCACCCUGACCAUCACUGGCCUUCAGGCUGAGGACGAGGCUGAGUAUUAUUGCCAGUCCUAUGAUAGCAAUCUCAAUACUCACACAGUGCUCCAGGCCUGUGGGGAAGUGAGACAAAAACUUGGUGUCCCCUUGGCAAUAGGGUUUCCUGUGAAGCCCCUACACCUUGGCUGUCAGCUGAUUCCUUUGUUUGCUGGUAUAAGCUGGAGUCUGAAACACAUUCUACGGCCUCUGUCUACAAAACCUGUCCCCGUUCUCUUAAAUUCAGCUUCCAAUGUCUGUCCUUGA